rnacentral:lncRNA from 1 species
CCCAAGUCCAUCACAUCUGAUAACCACUGUCAGGCUAGACAGUGGACUCAUGGUGCUCUCAGGGCGACCUCACAGGGGCUUGGCCGUGGCACUGAGGGGAGAGCCUGAUUGGCUGGCUGUUUCAUUGCCAGAUCUCUGAAGGCCAAUCAGGAUUUGUAGCUCAGCCACCUGCUUUCUGAGGAGCACUGAGCAAGAUGGCCACCUCCUGGUGGUAAGUCUCGCUCCUGGAGUUCCCAUCUUGACCCUACAGCGGGACAUUUUGCCGCCACCUCUUUGUGUGUUGGGAAGAUGACGUCCUUUCUGCUCGUCCUGCUUCUCUGAUUGAUCUGUGUCUCUGGAGAUCCCUUUGCUCAGCCAUCAGAUCAAGCAGGCAUCCAUGGUUCAGAAUGCAGGUGAUGACCUGGGCAAGAGCUCACCAGUAAGGAGCAAAGGGGCCCGCCUGCCACUCUUAAGCAGAGCGCCUGCUGAAUCAGGAUUUCCAAGGCUCCGGCUGAGUGCCUGGCUGGGGGCUGUGUGUGCAGAUGCCACAAGAUGGACAAGACUGAGGACGCAGAUUUCCUACAACAGCAGACUUCUGAUGCCCAGGCCUCAGUUCUGAACUCUGGAGGCUACAACCUGGCCUGCUUAUAGACGGUGGACCAAAUGAAGAUGAGGAAACUGAAGCAACUGUUCAAGAAGAGGAUAUAAAAAGGGACAGGCAUUGAUGAUGAUAUCAGAGCUUCUUCCUGGGGAAUCUCAGCCUCACAUGAUGGAGUAUGACUAAAGGAAAAAAAUAAGGCUCUUCACAUACUUUCUUGGCAGUCUGUGAGGGUCAGGGUUGAUUUUGUGUCCCUAAAAUGUCACAUGAAGUUCAUAGGCACUUCCAAAGGGGCAGUCUAGCAAGUUAAAGAGUAGAUGUGGGGCUGUGUGGAGUCCAUUGUUUGGGUAAUCUUUUUCAAACAGUAGGAAUAUACCAGCUUGUAAAGAUUUGCCCACUUAGCUUCAAGUCUCUCUGAACACAUUUCCCCCCGCUCUAUGAAUAGAUGAAGACAUACAAAUGGAACUCUUGAUAUUCUUAAGUGAAAAACAUGAUAUGGAAUAGCAGAUAAAUACAAACAAUUUCUUAUCCAGCAAAGAGCUCCAGAAAUAUUUUGACUUCAUUUAAAACAGUUAUAUAAAUAUUUGCUGGUGGAAUUUUUUUCUAAACCAAAUACCCUGAAGGAUUUUAGUUGUCUAUCUACAACUUUUUGCUUGUGGAAAAUGUUGACUUCCUGGUUACUUUGACUUGUGUUCACCUGAAAUUUUGCUUUUGCAGUAGUUUUUCUUAUGAUUUAGUGGCAUUGCCUGUCCAGUGACAGGAAGUGGUGUUCUUAUUGGGACUAAUAUGUGUUAUGGCCCUAGAACCAGCAGAAGCCACUCCUGCUUUUUUCCACACUCUUCUUUCUAUAGAAGAGAAGGGAAUGAGGAUCCCACAUGGCAUUCACUGCCUUGAGCAUACUGAGAUUUCUUUGCAAAAGGAGAAACAGCACCAGCAACUAAGCAUUUUAUCCCAUUUUAUUUUACUUCUUCUAUGAUUCUUUGCCACUUAGCAAUGCCAAUUAAUUGAUUUGGGACUGGAAAUACAUUUCUUAUACAAUCUUCAAGUUUUCUUUCAUAAGAACAUAACUUUCAUCUGAUAUUGUUCCCCACUUCUCUCUUUUCAAAUGUAAUAUUUGGGCCAGUCCUUGAAAGUGAACUGAGUUGAGUUCUCAUGGCCCAUAAAAGAACAUAUUCAAAAUGUAUCAUUUUCUUUAUGUCACAGAUAAAAGAUCAUUAAUUGUAUAUAAAAUUUCCAUAUAAUUUUUAAAAUUUUUAUUUUGCAAUAAUUUAUUUUAGAUUUACAUUAAAGUUGCAAGGAAGGU